rnacentral:lncRNA from 1 species
GAGAGAGAGAGAGAGAGAGAGAGAGAGAGAGAGAGGAAGAGGGAGAGCUCUUAAACUCGUGUUAAAAGUGGAAACCACGUUUGUAGAUGAAGCAACGAUCAGCUAUGUGCAAAAUCUAGCAAAAUGUGAUAUUACGAAAGAAGAGUUGACGGACGCAAUAGAAUAUCUUCGAGAUGACUGAUACAAUUUCCGUCCAGUCUUGUUGACAGUCGCGAGGUAUUUUACAACGUCAAUCAAAUAUGUUUUCCACCAACUAUACAUAGUCAAAAGUGUAUUUGUG